rnacentral:rRNA from 1 species
GACGAACGCUGGCGGCGUGCUUAACACAUGCAAGUCGAACGGAAAGGCCCUGCUUUUGUGGGGUGCUCGAGUGGCGAACGGGUGAGUAACACGUGAGUAACCUGCCCUUGACUUUGGGAUAACUUCAGGAAACUGGGGCUAAUACCGGAUAGGAGCUCCUGCUGCAUGGUGGGGGUUGGAAAGUUUCGGCGGUUGGGGAUGGACUCGCGGCUUAUCAGCUUGUUGGUGGGGUAGUGGCUUACCAAGGCUUUGACGGGUAGCCGGCCUGAGAGGGUGACCGGCCACAUUGGGACUGAGAUACGGCCCAGACUGCUACGGGAGGCAGCAGUGGGGAAUAUUGCACAAUGGGCGGAAGCCUGAUGCAGCAACGCCGCGUGCGGGAUGACGGCCUUCGGGUUGUAAAACGAUUUCGCCUGUGACGAAGCGUGAGUGACGGUAAUGGGUAAAGAAGCACCGGCUAACUACGUG